CCCGCUGAGCAGAGAGCCUAAUUUGGGGCUCGAUCCCAGGACCCUGGGAUCAUGACCUGAGCCGAAGGCAGACGCUUUAACCCACUGAGUUUUAACCCACCCAGGUGCCCCUGGAUUUGCAGUUUUGAUAAGGAAGAGCACAUCUCUUAUCUUUACCUCUAUGCACCAGGAACUGUCUAGAUACUGAAGUUAUAAGGAUUACGAUGUUCCUUACAUUAGAAUUCCAUGCAUCAGACAUUCUGCAAGUUCAUACCUUACCUGAUGCCUGGCCUAGCCUCUUACCAUUCAGACUCCCAUCGUUUCCAGUAACUUAUGCUGGUAAAGAGGAAGCUUAGGAUUCUAGGAGCUGGUAAAUAAAGAACUGGGGGUGGAUAAGGUAUGGGUUCAACCUCUUGCCCUAAUACUUCUCACUUCAGGUAAGCUCCCUACCCUAUAUAUAUAUAUAUUUUUUUUUUCCUUUUUAUUUCUAAAUAAUUUCAGAUUCAUAGGAGUUAAAAUGUGAAAGAGGCCCUACGUAACCCUCACUCAGGCACCUCCAAUGGUAGCAUCUUGUAUAACUACAGUACACUAUCCAAACCAGGAAAUUGCUAUUAUUGUAAUACACAGAGCUUAUUCAGGGGGGAAUGGAAGACAUUAGAAUGUAAAGACCAUAUGAAAGUAUCAUGGGGUGCCUAUAUACUGGAACCUCUUAUAACUGUAUGUUUUAUGAGAAAGGAUUUUAUAAUGACAGUAAUUAUAUUGAGUACCUACCAUAUUCUAGGUGUUUUAUGUACAUGAGAUAUUAUGUUUUUAUUUGUAUUCUUACUAUUAUAAACAUUGUUGAGCAAUUUUGUAUCAGGCAGUCUUAUAAGUAACUAAUAUAAAGUCAUUAAACCCUCCAAACAACACUAUAAGGCAAGUAUGUUAUUACUCACUCUACAGAUGAGAAAACUGAAGAACAGAGAGGAUUGGUGACUUGUCCAAGGUCACUUUAUAAGCAGAAAACCUGGCAUUUGAACUGGGGUGGACACCAGAGCCAGCACUCCUGAUUACCAUAUAGGCACAUAAACAUCACAGUUCACGGUUAACUUUUUAAGACUUCCUGAGGCACUGAGGAUUUUGGAUAGUUGCCAUCAAUUGACCUGAGAGCUUCUACAACUUAAAGGUGAGUUCAUAAAGAAGGUGCAGGUGGGUAUUUUAUUUAUUAAACAUUCAAAAAGUGAUCACUGCUAGUCAAACGGUAUUUUAACCACCUUGAAUGAAAACUCCUUAGGCUAUUUUUCCAUUUUUCAAAUAGAGAAGCAGAGGCACAGGAAGAUAUAGCAGUUUGUCCAAGGUCACACAGCUAGUGGGUGGCUAUGACACUGAGGAUCUCAAGGGAAGGCCGAUAGGGACGAGGGUGGUUUAAAGCCACAACCUCUCAAAACUGACCCAUUCGUUUCAUCUGGAGGCUAGGGUCUCACGGUGAAGAAAAAUGGUUGGGCACACAAUGAAAAUUCAGCAGGAUGGGAACAGCAAAGAAGGAAAGAGAAGGUCCAGACCAAUGUGGGAGAGGGAAAUACUCAGGAAACCUCGAAAAGCAAACUGCCCUAUUUUUAACAACCGCAGUUAUAAAUACUAUCUGAACCAGCCUUCCUUCUUCAAGUUCAAGAAACUUAAAUUCACAUAAAAAUGAGCAGUAGAAAAAAAUCAAGGUCUGAUGGCAUUUGAAGUUAUAAGAAAAAAGAAUAAGGUGUAUAAUGACAUCCAUACAGACAAUAAAAGCAUACCCGAAAGACAUGUUCGAGAAAGCAGGUCCAGAGCACUGUAUUAGUUCAAAAUGAGGUUAAAAUGCAUGAAGAAAAUAGUAUAAGAAAUGAAAGACCAAAAUAAAUUAGAAUUCAUAAAGGAAAUAAGAAACCUCAAGAAAGAAUUCAAAAUUAAAGUAUCAGAGUUCAAGUGAGCCUCCUCAAGAGCCUGACUACAAGGCUUCUGCACUCUGGACCCAGCACAGACCUCCUGGGGCAGCUGCCUCUGGGUUUAUUAAUAAAGGUCCUAAAUCUCUUUACUUUCAAAAGUGGCCUUAAAAUAUUUUUAAAUAAUAAAUGUUGUGGAGUAAUUUUAGUAAAGAUGCUUAUUUUAAAUAAAAUGUGAACAUUUUGUUUUAUUCCAUGGCUGUAUCAGUAGAGAAUUAUAAUUUUAAUCUUAGCCCCUGUCAUUGCCGUCCAAAAACAACUGGUGCCUUCCUAUGCCAAAUGCAAUUUUGUGAAAAGUGAGUCAAUUUUUUGGAAGCCAGAACCAUAAAAGUAGUGGCAAUGUCAAUCAAUAAAUGGUGGCAAAUUCCACAAUAUAUUAUGGAGACAUUAUACUUAUGUAGAAACUCACUCAAAAUGUAUUUGAGCAAUCUUCUGUAAUGUCAUAUUACAUCAUUAUGAAUUGGAAUUUUGCCAUCAUAAAGGUGUGAGGAAUAUCUUUAGGACAAUGUUGCUGUUAGCAGAAGAACUGAAUAGAAAACUUAGAACAGUGGUUCUCAGGGUGGGAGACCAUAUGCAAUUUUAAGAAUAUGACUACUAUUUUCCUAACAUAAUAGUUUUGUUUUUAAGAUUUUUAUUUAUUUAUUUGAGAGAAACUGAGAACCAGAGAGAUCAGAGAAGGAGAUGUAGACUCACUGCUGAGUAGAGAGCCCAAUGUGGGGCUUGAUCCCUGGACUCCAAGAUCAUGACCUGAGCUGCAGGCAGAUGUUUAACCAACUGAGCCACACAGACACCCUUGUUUUCCUAAUAUAACCCAAGAAAAAUAAGCUUGAUAAAAUCCAUUCAGUUGGUGGAUGACUUGUCUACUGUAAGAAGGCACUAUAAUGGAAUAGAGUAAAAUCUGACAUAAUGAUAUAGACCCAGAUGUGUGUGUGUGUGUGUGUGUGUGUGUGUGUGUGUGUGUGUAUCAAGUGUACACCAGGAGUGGGCAGGUGCAGACCUACUAUAUAUUCAAAUCACCGUGGGAUAUUUUCCAAACUAAGAGUACACAGGUCAAGCCCAUCCCAUCCUAACUGAAAACCACAAAUAUGAAAUACUAAGGGGAAUUGGAGAGAUAUCUGGACUAUGUGCAGAGGUUAUGUAUUCUAGUGUAGAUUAUCCUGGGAAAUUUUCCAACCCCUGAAUUUUGUUACACAAAACAUCAAGUUAAAUGCAUGUUGAAAAGUCUUAAAGGAAAACCAAUGGCUUUGUCAGCAAGCUGUUUUUAAGUUCCCCAUAACUGGUUCCAUUUCUCUGAGCCAACAUAGAACUGAAGGACAAAGAAAAUGCUUUUACUGGAUUUUGAUGAACGUAGAGAUCCGGGACUCUGAUCUGGACUUCUCAAGAACAAUUUCAGAGCCAGGCUUUGGAUCCCUGAGUGGGCCUUCCUUCCUCACCAAGAAAGGAAUGAAGGUGAACUAGAUCUCUUUGCCCACUAUUCAAAAUAAGUUAAUUUACCAGUACAAUUGAGCCACACAUGAGUACAGAUAACAUUAGUCGAUUUAUCUGGGUUUCAUUUCCGGGUCAAAUUUGGACGCUGGACUCCAGGUGAGUUGUGCCUGCUUUGUUUCCUAGCAUCUUAACCUCAGAGCCUAAACACAGCCAAUUCUUUCUCACCUAGUGGCUGAAUCCCUCUAAUACUUGUCCAGCUCUCUGCUCUUUAAAAAAAAAAAAAAAAAAAAAGCUUAUUUUCACUGUUCAUGGCACAUUCAUUGGACCUUGGAGGCUAAGAAAUGAGACAAUUAAACUCAAUUUGACUUAGCCCAUUUUAUUUCUCAUUAGGAGCUUUAACAAAAAGUUUCUUGGGGUGUGAUCAAAAUAUCUAAUUAAAAUGAGAUUUGAAUGUUGAAGAGUCCGGUUUAUUCUUGAUACCGUGACCCUGGGAAUACAGAAAAUUAACUUGUUCUUAUUGACUAUGUAGACAUUCGGCUUUGUUUUUACAGAAUACAAUAGAGAAUUUUAUAGUAAGAAUAUUAGGGGGCUCCUGGGUAGCUCAGUCAGUUAAGUGUCUGCAUUCAGCUCAGGUCGUGAUCCCAGGAUCAAUCCUGGGUUGGAACAGUGCCCCUUGUCUGGGCUCCUGGUUCAGUGGGGAGUCUACUUGUCUCCCUCUCCCUCCGCCCUUCUCCCUGCUAAAGCUUGCUCUCUUGUGGGCACUCUCUCUUAAAUAAAUAAAAAAGAUCUUAAAAAAAAAAAAAAAAAGGAAUAUAGGCAAGUUCUAUGGACCUUUGGGGAAAGCACUAUCUCCAAGGCAGAUACAAAAACCCCCUACUUAUGUAUUUUUAAAAUUGUAGCUAUGUUUUAUGUUUUCUUUAAGUUGUGGUUUGUGGUUAUUGUAAUGUAAUAAAUAAUGCACAUGGUAAAAAUACAUAAAGAAAAUUAAACAGUAGGGAGUUACCAAGUAAAAAAUAAAUCUUCCUCCCAGAUCUCCCCAAACUUUAAGUUUCCCUCUAAAUAAGACAACAGUUUCUGAAACUAAGGUUGAUGAGCAGGUGGUGCAUUAAUCCUUUUGCAACUCAAUCUUAGUCUUUCAAAGACUUAAAAACAAAACAAAAACAUGUUGGGCUAUAAAUCUUAGCACUUGUAGGAAAAAGCCACACAUCACUGGUUUCCUGAGAGUCAUCACUGGUGUUGCUUACAUUUAAAGUGGACAUGAUCCACGGUUUACAAAUCGUUGCACAAUAAAAAUUAGAAUGCCCUAUUGUGGAUCAUUGCUAGGUACCAUUCAGGUUACAAUUUAACUAUGCUAAAGAAACCAAACUAUGGGGAAAAAAUGAUAAUAAGUGGAACAGGCAUCAGAGAUUUGAAGCAAUUUCAUUAAAAUGAAAUUAUGGUUAUGAAAGUUGGUCUGUGGUUUGAACUUAUGGCUUAUGGAAUAUUCCCCAACCCUCACUGUUAUGAAUGACUGUUUAAAGUAAUUGUUAUCUUUGAUAGGAGUUUUCAAAGUGAUAGGUGUAUUAAAGAUAAAUCCAUUUCUAUUUGUGUAAGCCUAAUUGUAAAUGUUUAUCUUUUCAUUCAUUGA